rnacentral:rRNA from 1 species
ACGAACGCUGGCGGCGUGCUUAACACAUGCAAGUCGAACGGAAAGGCCCCUUUGGGGGUACUCGAGUGGCGAACGGGUGAGUAACACGUGAGUAACCUGCCCUUGACUUCGGGAUAACUUCAGGAAACUGGGGCUAAUACCGGAUAGGAAUCCUUGCUGCAUGGUGGGGGUUGGAAAGCUUCGGCGGUUUUGGAUGGACUCGCGGCUUAUCAGCUUGUUGGUGGGGUAGUGGCUUACCAAGGCUUUGACGGGUAGCCGGCCUGAGAGGGCGACCGGCCACAUUGGGACUGAGAUACGGCCCAGACUCCUACGGGAGGCAGCAGUGGGGAAUAUUGCACAAUGGGCGGAAGUCUGAUGCAGCAACGCCGCGUGCGGGAUGACGGCCUUCGGGUUGUAAACCGCUUUCAGCAGGGGCGAAGCUUGUGGUGACGGUACCUGCAGAAGAAGCACCGGCUAACUACGUG